rnacentral:rRNA from 1 species
ACUCCUACGGGAGGCAGCAGUGGGAAGUCUUGGACAAUGGGCGCAAGCCUGAUCCAGCCAUGCCGCGUGAGUGAUGAAGGCCCUAGGGUCGUAAAGCUCUUUCGCCAGGGAUGAUAAUGACAGUACCUGGUAAAGAAACCCCGGCUAACUCCGUGCCAGCAGCCGCGGUAAUACGGAGGGGGUUAGCGUUGUUCGGAAUUACUGGGGCGUAAAGCGCGCGUAGGCGGACUAUUAAGUCAGAGGUGAAAUCCCGGGGCUCAACCCCGGAACUGCCUUUGAUACUGGUAGUCUUGAGUUCGAGAGAGGUGAGUGGAAUUCCGAGUGUAGAGGUGAAAUUCGUAGAUAUUCGGAGGAACACCAGUGGCGAAGGCGGCUCACUGGCUCGAUACUGACGCUGAGGUGCGAAAGUGUGGGGAGCAAACAGGAUUAGAUACCCUGGUAGCACAGAG